rnacentral:rRNA from 1 species
UACGAAGGGGGCUAGCGUUGCUCGGAAUCACUGGGCGUAAAGCGCACGUAGGCGGGUUCUUAAGUCAGGGGUGAAAUCCUGGAGCUCAACUCCAGAACUGCCUUUUGAUACUGAGGAUCUUUGAGUACGGGAGAGGUGAGUGGAACUGCGAGUGUAGAGGUGAAAUUCGUAGAUAUUCGCAAGAACACCAGUGGCGAAGGCGGCUCACUGGCCCGUAACUGACGCUGAGGCACGAAAGCGUGGGGAGCAAACAGG